UUUUCCUUUGUUUUUAGUUCUUUUUUUUUCUCUCUUUCUUUCUGGUUUUUUUUUUUCUCUCUUCAAUAUACUCCUUCACUCACAUUUUCAAUCUGCAAUACUUUUCCUUCUUUCUUUCUCUCUUUCUUUCUCUCUCGUUUCCUGUUCCUCUCCCUCACACGCUCUGUUCUCGUUCGUGCCAAGCGCUCUAUUUUUCACUGUCUUAAAAGCCCCUGUUCUUCUGAGCUCUGCUUUCUUCCUUCUCUUUCUCUCUUUUUUUCCUUCUCUCUCUCUCUCUCUCUCCUUCUCUCUCUCUCUCGUUCUAUCCCAGUUUCUCAAUCUGUUGACUGUGGUCUUCUGUUCUUCUGCUUCUGUUACAAACUACAAUGUUCUCUCUCCCUAUAGGAGAAAUGCAGGAACUAAAAUUCUGUCGAUGGAAAUUCCGCUAGACUCCGAAACCAACACUAGCAGAAUACGUAAGAUUGUAUGAUGUGUGUGUUGUUUGUGCGCGAUUGUGUGUGUGUGUUUGUUUUUGUGUGUGUGUGUGUGUGUGUAUGUGUGUGUGUGUGUCUUUUUCUGUG